rnacentral:rRNA from 1 species
AAAGGCCGGGAUCUUCGGACCGGUCACUAUUGGAUGAGCCUGCGUAAGAUUAGCUAGUUGGUGGGGUAAAGGCCUACCAAGGCGACGAUCCGUAGCUGGUCUGAGAGGAUGAUCAGCCACAUCGGGACUGAGACACGGCCCGAACUCCUACGGGAGGCAGCAGUGGGGAAUAUUGGACAAUGGGGGAAACCCUGAUCCAGCAAUGCCGCGUGAGUGAUGAAGGCCUUAGGGUUGUAAAGCUCUUUUACCCGGGAUGAUAAUGACAGUACCGGGAGAAUAAGCUCCGGCUAACUCCGUGCCAGCAGCCGCGGUAAUACGGAGGAUCCAAGCGUUAUCCGGAAUCAUUGGGUUUAAAGGGUCCGUAGGUGGAUAAUUAAGUCAGAGGUGAAAUCCUGCAGCUCAACUGUAGAAUUGCCUUUGAUACUGGUUAUCUUGAAUUAUUGUGAAGUGGUUAGAAUAUGUAGUGUAGCGGUGAAAUGCAUAGAUAUUACUUAGAAUACCAAUUGCGAAGGCAGAUCACUAAUAAUAUAUUGACGCUGAUGGACGAAAGCGUGGGGAGCGAACAGGAUUAGAUACCCUGGUAGUCCACGCCGUAAACGAUGGUCACUAGCUGUUCG